rnacentral:misc_RNA from 1 species
CAUCUCUCAAGCACAGCUUGGUGUUGGGCGUCUGUCUCCGCGUUGCGCGGUAGACUCGCCUCAAAAGCAUCGGCGUCCGGCGGUUGGUCUUGCGCGUAGCAGAUUGUUCGCACAAGGGCCAGGCCGCGGGGCUGCCGCACACGUCUAUGAUUCUCA